rnacentral:rRNA from 1 species
CCUACGGGAUGCAGCAGUGGGGAAUAUUGGACAAUGGGGGAAACCCUGAUCCAGCGACGCCGCGUGAGUGAAGAAGUAUUUCUGUACGUAAAGCUCUAUCAGCAGGAAAGAAAAUUACGGUACCUGACUACGAAUCCCCGGCUACCUACGUUCCAGCCGCCGCGGUCAUCCGUAGGGGGCAGGCGUUAUCCGGAUUUACUGGGUGUAAAGGGAGCGUAGACGGCAGCGCAAGGCUGGAGUGAAAUGCCGGGGCCCAACCCCGGAACUGCUCUGGAAACUGUGAAGCUGGAGUGCAGGAGAGGUAAGCGGAAUUCCUGGUGUAGCGGUGAAAUGCGUAGAUAUCAGGAGGAACACCGGUGGCGAAGGCGGCUUACUGGACUGUAACUGACGUUGAGGCUCGAAGGCGUGGGGAGCAAACAGGAUUAGAUACCCCAGUAGUC